UGGCCAUUGGGUAGCGGCGCUGUCCCUCAGGACAGGCGGGGGCCCUGAUUGGCCCGAGGUGGUGGGGGUGGGCUCUCGGGGAGAAGAUCGCGGGCUGCCAUUGGCUGCACUGAGGCCCCGCCCCCGGGGGUCAGAGGGAGCGGAGCGGUUGCCGGGCAACGGCGGGAGCGGCCCGGGGAGCCCGGAGGGGAACUCGGACCGGGAUCCUCCCGGGACACCCCCGCUCCUGGGCUGGACCGGGACAACCCCCCCGGGGACCCUUCUCGCUCCGGGGCUGGGCCAGGACACUCCCCCCGGGACCCCCACACCAGCUUCCGGGCUGGGCCACCCCGUUCCCCCUGCUCCAAGAGGGACGUCCCUAUUCCCAGGUUCCAGUUCCCGUUGGCUGCAGGGAUCAUUGCGGCCCCGAGGGCGCCCCAGCCCAGCCCCGCGGAUAGAGCAGGUGCUGUGAGGGCCCCACCAUGGAACACACAUCCCAAGGCCCUGGGAUUCCAUCCAUGCCUGUUGAGGCACCAGUUCCAGCAGGCAGGGCAGGCCCAGCAGUAAUGGAGCAGCUUUUGCUCUUGUGCUGGGCUGCACAGCCCUGGCAGAACAAGAAGACAGAGCAACAGUAAAGCACCCACGUGAGUGAGAAUCGCAGAACAAAAUGCAAACAACCCAUGUAAACCCAUUUCUAUUCCA